GCUGGGCAUGGUGCCGCAUGCCUGUAAUCCCAGCUACUCAGGAGGCUGAGGCAGGAGAAUCGCUUGAACCCAGGAGGCGGAAGUUGCAGUGAGCCGAGAUUGCACCACUGCACUCCAGCCUGGGUGACAGAGCAAGACUCUGUCUCAA
rnacentral:SRP_RNA from 2 species